AGAUUGAACGCUGGCGGCAUGCCUAACACAUGCAAGUCGAACGGGAGUAGCAAUACUCUAGUGGCGGACGGGUGAGGAAUACGUAGGAAUUUGCCCUUAAGUGGGGGAUAACCCGGGGAAACCCGGAUUAAUACCGCAUGACCUCGAAAGAGCAAAGUGGGGGAUCGCAAGACCUCACGCUUUUGGAGAAGCCUACGUCGGAUUAGCUAGUUGGUGAGGUAAUGGCUCACCAAGGCGACGAUCCGUAACUGGUCUGAGAGGAUGAUCAGUCACGACCGAACUGAG
rnacentral:rRNA from 1 species